rnacentral:rRNA from 1 species
AGAGUUUGAUCCUGGCUCAGGAUGAACGCUGACAGAAUGCUUAACACAUGCAAGUCUACUUGAUCCUUCGGGUGAAGGUGGCGGACGGGUGAGUAACGCGUAAAGAACUUGCCUUACAGACUGGGACAACAUUUGGAAACGAAUGCUAAUACCGGAUAUUAUGAUUGGGUCGCAUGAUCUGGUUAUGAAAGCUAUAUGCGCUGUGAGAGAGCUUUGCGUCCCAUUAGUUAGUUGGUGAGGUAACGGCUCACCAAGACGAUGAUGGGUAGCCGGCCUGAGAGGGUGAACGGCCACAAGGGGACUGAGACACGGCCCUUACUCCUACGGGAGGCAGCAGUGGGGAAUAUUGGACAAUGGACCAAAAGUCUGAUCCAGCAAUUCUGUGUGCACGAUGAAGUUUUUCGGAAUGUAAAGUGCUUUCAGUUGGGAAGAAGUCAGUGACGGUACCAACAGAAGAAGCGACGGCUAAAUACGUGCCAGCAGCCGCGGUAAUACGUAUGUCGCAAGCGUUAUCCGGAUUUAUUGGGCGUAAAGCGCGUCUAGGCGGCUUAGUAAGUCUGAUGUGAAAAUGCGGGGCUCAACCCCGUAUUGCGUUGGAAACUGCUAAACUAGAGUACUGGAGAGGUAGGCGGAACUACAAGUGUAGAGGUGAAAUUCGUAGAUAUUUGUAGGAAUGCCGAUGGGGAAGCCAGCCUACUGGACAGAUACUGACGCUAAAGCGCGAAAGCGUGGGUAGCAAACAGGAUUAGAUACCCUGGUAGUCCACGCCGUAAACGAUGAUUACUAGGUGUUGGGGGUCGAACCUCAGCGCCCAAGCUAACGCGAUAAGUAAUCCGCCUGGGGAGUACGUACGCAAGUAUGAAACUCAAAGGAAUUGACGGGGACCCGCACAAGCGGUGGAGCAUGUGGUUUA